rnacentral:rRNA from 1 species
AGCAGCCGCGGUAAUUCCAGCUCCAAUAGCGUAUAUUAAAGUUGCUGCAGUUAAAAAGCUCGUAGUUGAAUUUCGGGACUAAUAUGUUGGUCGUGCCUCGGUACGUACUGAUAUUUUUGGUUUCUCCCUUCUGACGAACCUUGAUGUCAUUAAUUUGGUGUCUUAGGAAAUCAGGACUGUUACUUUGAAAAAAUUAGAGUGUUUAAAGCAGGCUCACGCUUGAAUACAUUAGCAUGGAAUAAUGAAAUAGGACGUUUGAUUCUAUUUUGUUGGUUUCUAGGAUUGACGUAAUGAUUAAUAGGGAUAGUUGGGGGCAUUAGUAUUCAAUUGUCAGAGGUGAAAUUCUUGGAUUUAUUGAAGACUAACUACUGCGAAAGCAUUUGCCAAGGAUGUUUUCAUUAAUCAAGAACGAAAGUUAGGGGAUCGAAGACGAUCAGAUACCGUCGUAGUCUUAACCAUAAACUAUGCCGACUAGGGAUCGGAUGAUGUUAAUUUUUUAAUGACUCAUUCGGCGCCUUAC